rnacentral:rRNA from 1 species
GGCCUGACUGAGCGGUCUUGCUAACGUAAGCACUGCCCGGUUGGGUCUUUCCUUCUGGGGAACCAGCUGCCUUUAACUGGGUGGGUUGGGGAUCCAGGACUUUUACUUUGAAAAAAUUAGAGUGUUCAAAGCAGGCAUUAGCUUGAAUACAUUAGCAUGGAAUAAUAAAAUAGGACUUUGGUUCUAUUUUGUUGGCUUCUAGGACCGAAGUA